rnacentral:piRNA from 1 species
UGCCAGUAGUGUAUUCUCAUUAUACACA